rnacentral:rRNA from 1 species
UACAGCGGGUGCGAGCGUUAAUCGGAAUUACUGGGCGUAAAGCGCACGUAGGUGGCGACGUAAGUCGGGUGUGAAAGCCCCGGGCUCAACCUGGGAAUUGCAUUCGAGACUGCAUUGCUGGAGUACGGAAGAGGAGGGCGGAAUUCCCGGUGUAGCGGUGAAAUGCGUAGAUAUCGGGAGGAACAUCAGUGGCGAAGGCUGCCCUCUGGUCCAGUACUGACACUCAAGUGCGAAAGCGUGGGGAGCAAGCAGG